UAAUCAUACCAUUAGUUUAGAAGUAGAAACAAAUAGAAUUUUAUCAUCUCAACACCAUACUAUACAUUAAUUAAUCGUGAAUUACUACCAUCCAAACAGAACAUAAAUUUUCAAUAAAAAAUUAAUUGUUGUUGAUCCAGAACAGGUACACUAUUAUACUUUUAAAAGUUAAAUUGUCCAUUUCUUUAUGUUCAAAAUUCAUGGUAAUAUGCAUGAAAGAACAACGAUAAU
rnacentral:lncRNA from 1 species